rnacentral:rRNA from 1 species
AGCAUAUCAAUAAGCGGAGGAAAAGAAACUAACAAGGAUUCCCCUAGUAACUGCGAGUGAAGCGGGAAAAGCUCAAAUUUAAAAUCUGUCAGUCUUUGGCUGUCCGAAUUGUAAUCUAGAGAAGUGUUAUCCGCGCUGGACCGUGUACAAGUCUCCUGGAAUGGAGCGUCAUAGAGGGUGAGAAUCCCGUCUUUGACAUGGACUGCCAGGGCUUUGUGAUGCGCUCUCAAAGAGUCGAGUUGUUUGGGAAUGCAGCUCAAAAUGGGUGGUAAAUUCCAUCUAAAGCUAAAUAUUGGCGAGAGACCGAUAGCGAACAAGUACCGUGAGGGAAAGAUGAAAAGAACUUUGGAAAGAGAGUUAAACAGUACGUGAAAUUGCUGAAAGGGAAACGCUUGAAGUCAGUCGCGUUGUCCAGGGAUCAACCUUGCUUUUGCUUGGUGUACUUUCUGGUUGACGGGUCAGCAUCAAUUUUGACUGUUGGAAAAAGGUCAAGGGAAUGUGGCAUCUUUAGAUGUGUUAUAGCCCUUGGUUGCAUACAAUGGUUGGGAUUGAGGAACUCAGCACGCCGCAAGGCCGGGUAUUAACCACGUACGUGCUUAGGAUGCUGGCAUAAUGGCUUUAAUCGACCCGUCUUGAAACACGGACCAAGGAGUCUAACAUGCCUGCGAGUGUUUGGGUGGAAAACCCGAGCGCGUAAUGAAAGUGAAAGUUGAGAUCCCUGUCGUGGGGAGCAUCGACGCCCGGACCAGACCUUUUGUGACGGUUCCGCGGUAGAGCAUGUAUGUUGGGACCCGAAAGAUGGUGAACUAUGCCUGAAUAGGGUGAAGCCAGAGGAAACUCUGGUGGAGGCUCGUAGCGAUUCUGACGUGCAAAUCGAUCGUCAAAUUUGGGUAUAGGGGCGAAAGACUAAUCGAACCAUCUAGUAGCUGGUUCCUG